rfam:Candidatus Lloydbacteria bacterium RIFCSPHIGHO2_02_FTLL_54_17 rifcsphigho2_02_scaffold_1739, whole genome shotgun sequence.
GUCCCCGUAGUUCAAUGGAUAGAACAAGAACCUUCUAAGUUCUGGAUCCAGGUUCGAUUCCUGGCGGGGGCA